rnacentral:lncRNA from 1 species
GUACAACUGGUCAGGGAGAACCAAUGGCAGACAUGUGCUAUAUCCCAACACACCUUGACUCUUGCUCUCACCGGAAGCUCAGCUUAGGGAAAGGAGAUCUUAAUAGGAGACAGAAGACCCGGACGCUGGUUUUGAUUGUGCCCUUCUCCAGCUGUGUGGCCUUGAGCAGCUGGUAUGUGGCAACGACCUGACUUCAACCAGGAAGACAAGGUUGAUGACCUAAGGAAUAGCACUGUAGCAAAUGGAAGGAUCCCUGAGUGACUGUGUGGAGCAGAGCCCUCCUACCAGCCUGGACUAGCCAACAUAAGAUUAAGU